rnacentral:lncRNA from 1 species
GAAAUCUCCAGAUUACUGGGGCAGAACAGAGUUCUAGUUUAUAAUAUUAAUAAAGUUUUCCUGAAAGUGUAAGAGUUCCACGUAUCCACACUUGCACAUUUACAUUUUUACAUCCUCUUUUGGCUGUCACUCAGGGCUGGAUGCAACUGGGUGCUCAACAUCUAAAAGGGAUGGCGAAAUAAAUUACACAGAUCUCUGUGCAAGUCUGAUCAAGCUCUGAAAGGUGAGGCUCUUGAUUCAUGGCAGUCUGGCCAGUCACAGCCCUGUCUGAAGGGUCAGUCUGACUCUUCCAUGGUGUUUUCCACCUCCUCAAACGUUCUGCUCAGGAAGAAGUCACAGGAGGGACUUUCAGCUUUCCCCUGUCCUUGGCUGGCUGAGCUGGGCAUGUCAAACAGGAGAUGGAGCUGUUCCUUGAGGAUAAAUCUUCAUUUCUCUCAUGUGAAGAACUGUGCCGAGAUCUGCCCGUGGAAAAUUACUUUCUAGGAGCAAGAAUCACAAAGGACCUUUGCUUUCAGGCUUUUGUCUGAGGUCCACAGCAUAAUGAGCAAAAAUGGAAUGAAGGGUAUUAACCUUUGGAAGAUGAAAGGUAAUCAGGACUGAACCA